rnacentral:rRNA from 1 species
AUGCUUAACACAUGCAAGUCGAACGGAAACAGAUCGCUGUGAUCCCUUCGGGGUGAACUUGAUGCUGUCGAGUGGCGGACGGGUGAGUAACGCUUGGGAAUCUACCCAGUAGUGGGGGACAACACGAGGAAACUCGUGCUAAUACCGCAUACGUCCUACGGGAGAAAGUGGGGGAUCUUCGGACCUCACGCUAUUGGAUGAGCCCAAGUCGGAUUAGCUUGUUGGUGGGGUAAAAGCUCACCAAGGCGACGAUCCGUAGCUGGUCUGAGAGGACGAUCAGCCACACUGGGACUGAGACACGGCCCAGACUCCUACGGGAGGCAGCAGUGGGGAAUAUUGGACAAUGGGGGCAACCCUGAUCCAGCAAUGCCGCGUGUGUGAAGAAGGCCUGCGGGUUGUAAAGCACUUUCAGUAGAGAAGAAAAACUCGGGGUUAAUACCCCCGGGUCUUGACGUAGCCUACAGAAGAAGCACCGGCUAACUCCGUGCCAGCAGCCGCGGUAAUACGGAGGGUGCGAGCGUUAAUCGGAAUUACUGGGCGUAAAGCGCGCGUAGGCGGUUUGAUCAGUCGGAUGUGAAAGCCCCGGGCUUAACCUGGGAAUUGCAUUCGAUACUGUCAGGCUAGAGUAUGGGAGAGGGAAGUGGAAUUUCCGGUGUAGCGGUGAAAUGCGUAGAUAUCGGAAGGAA